rnacentral:tRNA from 1 species
GGUUUUUUGUUUAAAAUUAUUAAGUUUAUUUUCUGAGUAAUUAUACUUGAUAUUAUUACAGGAAAAAUUG